rnacentral:lncRNA from 1 species
CUUGGCUUCUUGUUUUAUAAAACACUAGAGUCUAUGAUGAACAAAAGCCCAGAGGUUAAAUAUUAUCACUUGUAACUUUAAAUACAAAGCACUAAACACACUUAAAGUCACCUGUAAUGAUAUUUAACUCUUGGUUUCUUGUUAAGUAUAUAGCGUAUGAAAACUGAUUAAACAAGAUAUAUUAUAUCUUAUAUUUAUUUAUUUCUCUCUAUGAAAUAAUCGUAAGCUCAGCCCCCUUCUGUCAUUACUAAUGUCAGUCUCAUUCUGAUGGACAGUUUAUAAAGAGCAGGAGACUUCACUCUUCUCACAGUCAUGGACUUCUCUGCACAGGAAUAAAAUCAGAGUAUCCAGAACCAUGGGUGCCCAGGUUUCAGUCGUCAAUCAGACUCCUUACACCUGGUACUUUGCCACUCAAGACAGAGGGUAUACAUACAUCGGUCCUGGCAGCACAACAUCCUAUAAAGAGUCUCUGGCAAUCCAUCGCUACAUCCACAUCAGAUAUGAAAAUCACUCGUGGAAUAGUUUUUCAUACGAGUUUAACACCCAUAAAGGUGACACAUCUUUUAUCCUAAGAGAAACCUACGACCGUUCCCAGAUUCAGUUGCACUGCACCUCUGAAGGCGGCACUCAUUACUGUCCCAACUACGGAAAAAUUAAAGAAGAUGAAAACCGGAGACAGCAGCAAGAGGAGGAGAGAAGACGUCAGGAACGACAAAUCGAAGAAGAUAACAAACGGAGACAGCAAGAAGAGGAGAGAAGACGUCUGGAACGACAAAUCGAAGAAGAUAACAAACGGAGACAGCAAGAAGAGGAGAGAAGACGUCUGGAACGUUUGGAACGUGAACAAAGGAUUCAACAGGAGCUGGACAGAGAGAGUGAACUGUCCAGACGCAAGCUUUCUCGAGCAACUGAGCGGCUUCGUGAAAAACAGAGCUUCAGAGGUCAUGAGAAACAUCAUGAACGUAUACAAGUUCUCCAACAGCAAAUAGAAGAUGAUGCUGCUGCGAUCGAGAGGAACGAGGUUAUCGAUAUCGAAGAAAAAUUCAACAACCUUUUAUUUAAGUAUCAGAUCACAGAAGAUAAAGAAAUACAGCAGCACCAAAUUUGGAGCAGGAUUAAGAUACUCCUGAAUGAAGUUGCAGUUCAAUAUUGUAGAGAAAACAACCUUUCACUAUGGUCUCAGUUUACCUUUGAUCAAGCUGUAAGAUAUAACGAACUGUCUCUUACAGAGAAGCUCACAGUUCUUGAGGCAUCUCUACAGUUCAUUAUGCACAGUAGCACUGAAGAUGCUAAAGAUGACGAAGAUCAGCCGCUUGGUUGGGAGAAGUACCACUUUUUCUUGGGUUUGUUGGAGCAGCUUCAUUUCACAAGUCCAACUUUGGCCGAACACAUUUUAUUAAAUGUACUUGACACAAUCUCAGAGCUUUCACCCAAAAGUAGGGACAUUUUGGGUCAAAUGUUGUUCAACAGAAUCUGGACACCAACAGAAAUAAUGCUCUUACUUUGCAGAAGUCCAACUAUCAAAUGCCAUCAACUCGAUUCAGUUCUCCACACAGCACAAACCUACCACCUGGACUGCAUCCUCGUUAUCUCUGCUCUUAUGAAUGAAAACACUUUAAACUUUCUUCAAGAACAAAUAAAAAACGACAAGGAAAAAGAUGCUGAUACAAUUGUGAAGGAACUUCAUGAAGCAAACUGCCCAGAGAAAGUCUUGGUGCCUUUGAAUGAUGUGCUCAGAUACAUGCAGUUGGAACUCCCAAAAUAUCAACUGGUGGACCUAACCAAAGAACAAAUUGCUGAAUUGAAAGGAAAGAUAAGAUCUCUUAAUUUUACAAACCUAGAUAUAAACCUUUUGAAAGACAUAUUAAUUGGGAUGUCAAUAGCAGUGCAAGACUGCUCAACAAUCAUCACAGCAGACAAUGUGAAAAUUGAAGGAUAUUUUCCAAGACUUACACAACUAGCAUCAUUGCUUUUGCUUCUUCUGACAGAAAAUAAAGGAUGUCUCCUAGAGAUUGGCACAGGUGAGGGCAAGUCCUGUAUCUUAGCCAUGUUUGCAACAAUUUUUGAAAUGUUUGGUGUCACCUCAUCUGUAGUACCCCCACAUUACUCAAGUGACUAUUCACCAGAGAAACAAGAGGAAUGUCUUAAAGAUGCUUACCGGCAGCAAAUAGUAUACAGCACAGUGGGAGCCUUUGCAGCAGACACACUAAAACAGGAAUUUGAGAAGAGGACAACUCGCGGUACAAGGCAGUUUGAGCUUGUAAUAGUGGAUGAAGUGGACUAUAUGACCUUGGACAAUGGAGUUCAAGUAACAUUCUUGUCCCAUGAAUCUAGUGGAUUCAGGCAUGUGGAGCAAGUGCUUUCCAACAUAUGGGCCAUGAUAUCUAGUUGCCAACCAAUUGAAAUGCUUGAAACAGGAGAGGUAAAAUGGGCCACAAGGAUACAAUACUUUCAUAAAGCCAUAACGGCAGCCAUUAUGGGACUAGAAACAUCAGACAACUUUUCUGCAAAUGAGAUCUUAUUGCCCGGAGUGACUCUGGGAUUCUACACCCACGAAGAUAUUGAAAUGAUACAUCAAGCUGAGAGUAAGAAAGAAAAUGAAGGUAAUGGGAAUGAAGACAGAAUGUCCAAAACAUUAUCUGAAGUCAUGAAAAAACUGGGAGUUUCACAACAGUAUGAUCUCUUGGGUAUAUUUGAGGAGGUCUUGGAAAACAGUGUGGUGUUUAAGUGCUAUUCUUUAGAGAACAAGAAAGCCAAAUGUUUUGACGCUCAGGAAAAACAAGGUGACCUUAAAGUUGAAAUGCUCCUGCUGGAAGGAGGACUGGCAUGUGAAAUCAUGUCUGAGAAAUCACUCAUUGAUGCAACUGUAAGCACAAUAAAGUCAUCUAUCAAGUACUCAGAUAACCUCCAGACAGCCAAAGAAUCCAACAACUUCAUUAUCAUCCCUGUUUUCUUAAAAAGCUAUGUUGAGAAUCAGUUACUGGUGUUUGUCGAAAAUGCACUGAAGGCUGUUGAGAUGACGCGUGGCAGAGAAUACAUGAUCGACACCUCGCCGGCUGCUGAAAGAGACAUCGCCAACAGUCAAGACAGAGACAAGUAUAAUGCAGUAAUUCCAGUGGACUUCAAAGCAAGCGGUGUGCUGGAGAAAAACAAGAAGUGGGGUAAUGGUCUGCAACAAUUUUUAGAGUUCAAGCACCAACUCGCGAUUUCACCGAUAUCCAAUGUGACAAAUUACAUGUCAAAUUUCCAUUAUUUUAAAAGGUACCUCAGUGGGAGAGGUAUAUUUGGUGUUUCUGGUACAUUAGGAGGUAAAGCAGAUCAGGAUUUUCUGGCAAGACAUUAUAAAGCAACAUGCAACAAUUUUUAG